rnacentral:rRNA from 1 species
UACGUAGGGUGCGAGCGUUAAUCGGAAUUACUGGGCGUAGAGCGUGUGCAGGCGGUUUUGUAAGCCAGAUGUGAAAUCCCCGGGCUUAACCUGGGAAUGGCAUUUGGGACUGCAAGGCUGGAGUGUGGCAGAGGAGACUGGAAUUCCUGGUGUAGCAGUGAAAUGCGUAGAUAUCAGGAGGAAUACCGAUGGCGAAGGCAGGUCUCUGGGCUGACACUGACGCUCAUGCACGAAAGCGUGGGGAGCAAACAGG